rnacentral:rRNA from 1 species
GAUGAACGCUAGCGGCAGGCCUAACACAUGCAAGUCGAGGGGCAGCAUAAUAAAAGCUUGCUUUUAUGGUGGCGACCGGCGCACGGGUGCGUAACGCGUAUGCAAUCUACCUUUUACAGAGGGAUAGCCCAGAGAAAUUUGGAUUAAUACCUCAUAGUAUAACAUGACCGCAUGGUCGAGUUAUUAAAGUCACGACGGUA